rnacentral:rRNA from 2 species
UUGCCUCAGUAACGGCGAGUGAAGCGGCAACAGCUCAAAUUUGAAAUCUGGCUUCGGCCCGAGUUGUAAUUUGUAGAGGAAGCUUUUGGUGAAGCACCGACCGAGUCCCCUGGAACGGGGCGCCAUAGAGGGUGAGAGCCCCGUAUGGUCGGAUGCCGAUCCUCUGUAAAGCUCCUUCGACGAGUCGAGUAGUUUGGGAAUGCUGCUCAAAAUGGGAGGUAAAUUUCUUCUAAAGCUAAAUAUUGGCCAGAGACCGAUAGCGCACAAGUAGAGUGAUCGAAAGAUGAAAAGCACUUUGAAAAGAGGGUUAAAUAGCACGUGAAAUUGUUGAAAGGGAAGCGCUUGUGACCAGACUUGCGCCCCGUCGAUCAUCCGGGGUUCUCCCCGGUGCACUCGGCGGGGCUCAGGCCAGCAUCGGUUUUCGCGGGGGGACAAAGGUCCCGGGAACGUAGCUCCUCCGGGAGUGUUAUAGCCCGGGGCGUAAUGCCCUCGCGGGGACCGAGGACCGCGCUUCGGCAAGGAUGCUGGCGUAAUGGUCAUCAGCGACCCGUCUUGAAACACGGACCAAGGAGUCAAGGUUUUGCGCGAGUGUUUGGGUGUAAAACCCGCACGCGUAAUGAAAGUGAACGUAGGUGAGAGCUUCGGCGCAUCAUCGACCGAUCCUGAUGUAUUCGGAUGGAUUUGAGUAGGAGCGUUAAGCCUUGGACCCGAAAGAUGGUGAACUAUGCUUGGAUAGGGUGAAGCCAGAGGAAACUCUGGUGGAGGCUCGCAGCGGUUCUGACGUGCAAAUCGAUCGUCAAAUCUGAGCAUGGGGGCGAAAGACUAAUCGAACCAUCUAGUAGCUGGUUACCGCCGAAGUUUCCCUCAGGAUAGCAGUGUUGUUCUUCAGUUUUAUGAGGUAAAGCGAAUGAUUAGGGACUCGGGGGCGCUUUUUAGCCUUCAUCCAUUCUCAAACUUUAAAUAUGUAAGAAGCCCUUGUUACUUAAUUGAACGUGGGCAUU